rnacentral:lncRNA from 10 species
CAAAUCGACUGUUUUAGGGAGAGCAAACUGAGACAUGCCAUUUAUUGAACGCUCUUUUAUAUCUUCCUCGGUGCGGGGUGUUUUUCCAAUUAUUAACUAUUUAAUCUUCACAAGCUCACGACAGCCAUUCGUAACCUAAUUUUGCAGAUAAGGAGCUAGACACUCAUUUGGGGGGGAGAAGAGGAGGACUGGAGUUCAGAAAGUGCAUUUGAUGCUCUUAUCCUGGAGGCUGGAGCUAGUUCACCUCCCUGGAGAACAGCUUUUGGGAAUCCCGUUUGAAAUUGCCGCUCAAGGCCAGCUCGGCAUCCAGCCUAGGAAUUGGAGGAUUUUGGAGAAUCCCCUUAGGGGGAAAUGUUUAAAAGUGCAAAGUGAAUAGUAGAAGCCCCUCUCCUCGUCACUAGGGGUACAUUUGCCGUUUUCUUAUCAACAGCCUCUCAAGUACAAGCAUCUGGGACAAGAACUAGAACCGUGCUUGGGGCAGCCCCCACGUCCUCUCGGGAACAGGGGUGGAGCGCUGGCGGGAGUGGCUGAG